AUUACUGUUUUUUUAUGAAAUGUCGUGUACAAUAUUAGUCGUUACUUGGUAACUAUGGUGAUAAACAUCGUGAUGAAUAGAUAAAGUGGACUCGGGGGCAGAGCCCGACACCUCCACCAUAUUUAUAUGGGGGUGAAUAGAUUCGACACUUAUUGAAAAGCUCGAUUUUCACUCGUGGUGGUUUACGUUAUAGAGCCAGAAAUUAUAAAUGCGAACGAUAAUGUUUUCGCAUGCAACGAUAAUUAUGCAGUAGAGGCAAUUGCUUUAGCUGCUUAAUGAAGUAGACGCGGUUUGGGGGAUCCGGGCAACAGAAUUCCCCCGCU
rnacentral:tmRNA from 1 species